GACGAACGCUGGCGGCGUGCCUAAUACAUGCAAGUUGAGCGCUGAAGGUUGGUACUUGUCCCAACUGGAUGAGCAGCGAACGGGUGAGUAACGCGUGGGGAAUCUGCCUUUGAGCGGGGGACAACAUUUGGAGUCGAAUGCUAAUACCGCAUAAAAACUUUAAACACAAGUUUUAAGUUUGAAAGAUGCAAUUGCAUCACUCAAAGAUGAUCCCGCGUUGUAUUAGCUAGUUGGUGAGGUAAAGGCUCACCAAGGCGAUGAUACAUAGCCGACCUGAGAGGGGGAUCGGCCACAGUGGGACUGAGACACGGCCCAAACGCCUACGGGAGGCAGCAGUAGGGAAUCUUCGGCAAUGGACGAAAGUCUGACCGAGCAACGCCGCGUGAGUGAAGAAGGGUUACGGAUCGUAAAACUCUGUUGGUAGAGAAGAACGUUGGUGAGAGUGGAAAGCUCAUCAAGUGACGGUAACUACCCAGAAAGGGACGGCUAACUACGUG
rnacentral:rRNA from 1 species